UACGGAGGGGGCGAGCGUUAUUCGGAAUUAUUGGGCGUAAAGGGCGCGUAGGCGGCUUCGUAAGUCAAAGGUGAAAUCCCUCGGCUCAACUGAGGAACUGCCUUUGAAACUGUGAGGCUUGAGGCCGGGAGGGGGUAGCGGAAUUCCCAGUGUAGCGGUGAAAUGCGUAGAUAUCGGGAGGAACACCUGUGGCGAAAGCGGCUCACUGGACCACAACUGACGCUGAGGCGCGAAAGCUAGGGGAGCAAACAGG
rnacentral:rRNA from 1 species